rnacentral:RNase_P_RNA from 1 species
AUCGCAAAACGUUCUAUCGCUGCCACGAUACGUCGGGGCGGAGGAAAGUCCGGGCAACAUAGAGCAUCCUGCUUCCUAACGGGAAGGCGCCCGCAGCGGGCGACAGCAAGUGCCACAGAGAAUAUACCGCCGGUUUUACAACUGGUAAGGGUGAAAACGUGAGGUAAGAGCUCACGGCCUUCGUAGGCGACUGCGAUUGCGGUAAACCUCAGGAGUUGAAAAACCAAAUAGGUCCUGAAAGCGGAGUUGCUCGCUCCCUCCUCUUCACAGGGGUGUCAGGAUGGGUAGGUUGCUUGAACCUGCCGGCAACGGCAGGGCCAGAUCAAUGAUAGAAGUUUCGGAAACGGAAUACAGAACCCGGCUUACAGGUUUGCAGCUGAC